ACAUAACCUGUCUACUGGAGUAGGUCUACACAUAACCUGGAGUAGGUCUAUACAUAACCUGGAGUAGGUCUAUACAUAACCUGGAGUAGGUCUAUACAUAACCUGUCGACUGGGGUAGGUCUAUACAUAACCUGUCUACUGGAGUAGGUCAAUACAUAACCUGGAGUAGGUCUAUACAUAACCUGGAGUAGGUCUAUACAUAACCUGUCUACUGGAGUAGGUCUAUACAUAACCUGUCUACUGGAGUAGGUCUAUACAUAACCUGUCUACUGGGGUAGGUCUAUACAUAACCUGUCUACUGGAGUAGGUCUAUACAUAACCUGGAGUAGGUCUAUACAUAACCUGGGGUAGGUCUAUACAUAACCUGUAUAC
rnacentral:lncRNA from 1 species